GAGGAGUGAUGAUGAUGAGAACGGUUUCGCUAAAACAGCUGAUAUCAUGUGAUGUCACAACUUCUCUUGGCUGUCUGACCAA